UACAGAGGGUGCGAGCGUUAUUCGGAAUUACUGGGCGUAAAGCGUGCGUAGACGGUUAUUUAAGUCGGGUGUGAAAGCCCCGGGCUCAACCUGGGAAUUGCAUUCGAGACUGAAUAGCUAGGGUACGGUAGAGGGAAGCGGAAUUUCCGGUGUAGCGGUGAAAUGCGUAGAUAUCGGAAGGAACAUCAGUGGCGAAAGCGGCUUCCUGGACCAGUACCGACGUUCAGGCACGAAAGCGUGGGGAGCAAACAGG
rnacentral:rRNA from 1 species